GACGAACGCUGGCGGCGCGCUUAACACAUGCAAGUCGAACGGAAAGGCCUGCUUUCCCUUGUGGAUUGCGGGUACUCGAGUGGCGAACGGGUGAGUAACACGUGAGUGAUCUGCCCCCAACUUGGGUAUAAGCCUGGGAAACUGGGUCUAAUUCCCGAUAGGACUGCAGGGUGGUGCCUGUGGUGGAAAACGAUUUUCUAGUGGUUGGGGAUGAGCUCGCGGCCUAUCAGCUUGUUGGUGGGGUAAUGGCCUACCAAGGCGGCGACGGGUAGCCGGCCUGAGAGGGUGGACGGCCACAUUGGGACUGAGAUACGGCCCAGACUCCUACGGGAGGUAGCAGUGGGGAAUAUUGCACAAUGGGCGGAAGCCUGAUGCAGCGACGCAGCGUGGGGGAUGACGGCCUUCGGGUUGUAAACUCCUUUCGACCGCGAGGAAGCCACCUGGUUGGAAGGGUGGUGACGGUAGUGGUAGAAGAAGCACCGGCUAACUACGUG
rnacentral:rRNA from 1 species